CUGCAUGCGGGUGCUAUACAUGCAGUCGAGCGGACAGAUGGGAGCUUGCUCCCUGAUGUUAGCGGCGGACGGGUGAGUAACACGUGGGUAACCUGCCUGUAAGACUGGGAUAACUCCGGGAAACCGGGGCUAAUACCGGAUGCUUGUUUGAACCGCAUGGUUCAAACAUAAAAGGUGGCUUCGGCUACCACUUACAGAUGGACCCGCGGCGCAUUAGCUAGUUGGUGAGGUAAUGGCUCACCAAGGCAACGAUGCGUAGCCGACCUGAGAGGGUGAUCGGCCACACUGGGACUGAGACACGGCCCAGACUCCUACGGGAGGCAGCAGUAGGGAAUCUUCCGCAAUGGACGAAAGUCUGACGGAGCAACGCCGCGUGAGUGAUGAAGGUUUUCGGAUCGUAAAGCUCUGUUGUUAGGGAAGAACAAGUACCGUUCGAAUAGGGCGGUACCUUGACGGUACCUAACCAGAAAGCCACGGCUAACUACGUGCCAGCAGCCGCGGUAAUACGUAGGUGGCAAGCGUUGUCCGGAAUUAUUGGGCGUAAAGGGCUCGCAGGCGGUUCCUUAAGUCUGAUGUGAAAGCCCCCGGCUCAACCGGGGAGGGUCAUUGGAAACUGGGGAACUUGAGUGCAGAAGAGGAGAGUGGAAUUCCACGUGUAGCGGUGAAAUGCGUAGAGAUGUGGAGGAACACCAGUGGCGAAGGCGACUCUCUGGUCUGUAACUGACGCUGAGGAGCGAAAGCGUGGGGAGCGAACAGGAUUAGAUACCCUGGUAGUCCACGCCGUAAACGAUGAGUGCUAAGUGUUAUGGGGUUUCCGCCCCUUAGUGCUGCAGCUAACGCAUUAAGCACUCCGCCUGGGGAGUACGGUCGCAAGACUGAAACUCAAAGGAAUUGACGGGGGCCCGCACAAGCGGUGGAGCAUGUGGUUUAAUUCGAAGCAACGCGAGAACCUUACCAGGUCUUGACAUCCUCUGACAUCCUAGAGAUAGGACGUCCCCUUCGGGGCAGAGUGACAGUGUGCAUGUGUCGUCAGCUCGUGUCGUGAGAUGUGGGUAAGUCCGCAACGAGCGCAACCCUUGAUCUUAGUUGCCAGCAUUCA
rnacentral:rRNA from 1 species